GAGAGGCAGGAACUACACCAUCCAUGACUGUUGUAGCUUGAAAUGCUUGUUUUCACAGGAAAAUUCAUGUUUGUAGUGACAUGUUUUCCUCAGCAAUCUUUAAAGCUUAAAAAACUCACCACUGGCUUCUAGAUUCCACUGUAUGUUUAUUCUCUAUAAUUGCGCUAUCACUAAAUGCUGAAGAUAGGCUCCUACUUUGAAGAGGGUGACUGGAAAACUCAUUUAAUAGUUUCCCAGUGAAAUUACACAAAAAUAAGGUCAGGAACAAUACUGAGAAACAGAUAUCUUGUAGCCAGAGACCAAUCAAAAGAAGAAAGUGCCCCACCAGCAAGGUCCAGGAUCAGGAGCCUGGUGAGAAGCCCUGCACUGGGAACAAGGAGCAUGCUGGGAGUCUGUCCAAGGUGCUGUCCCCAGACCCUGCUUUGGAGCUUCUAUUUUUUAUAUCAAUUGUUGGCUAUUGAAGUCUCAUCCUUUCCCCUUCUGGCUGCUGUAAGAAAGGAGAGGGUGGGGGUUCGGUAUUGUGCUCUCCACUUUCAUAGCCACUCUUGUUGGUGUGCUGCUCCACUGCUCUGCUGUGAUGACCCCAGGGGAGGCCAGAUCCACCAGACAUUUGCCACCAGCCAUCAGCAUGGCAAAAACUAGGCAGAGCUGACCUGAGAACUGGUUCCAAUAUUUUUACCUGAACAGAUUAAUUAUACAACUCAAUUAUAACUCUCUAUAGCCUGAAGUUCUCAGACACUUAGUGAUAGCACCUUGAGUACCAUCUUUUGGAUGGCAGAUUGCUACAGAGGUACUUGAACACCCUACCUAUAAGAAAACAUACGAGCUAGCAAGAAACACAAUACUUACGUCCAUUGCAGAAAUCAUUACAAGUAGAUUAGAACUAAGACACUACAUUGCUGGGAACCCAGCAAUAACCAAGUGCUCUUUGUGGAAAAAAUAUUCCCUACACCGCUAGAUUUAGAGGGGCCCCUUUUUAUAGUGAUAAAGCUGCCCAAAUCCCAUUAGGAACACAUCAGUGGAGUAGGAUGGUGAAGGUCCAUGUUCACUGUAUAUCCAUGUCAUAUGUGCAGAAAAAAAUCCUGUUGGCAUUGGGAGGAACAGCUGCUGAAGAGAGCAGAAUAUACAAUAAUCUUGAAGGCACAUCAACCUGCUCCACUGACUGUAAAGUGAAGAUAAGUUUUUAUGCCCACACAUUAAUUGCCUGAUUAAGCCACAAAGAGAAGAGCAGACCUCUGUUCAGAAAGAUUUGGCCAUUUCAUUCUCCUUCCUUUCCAGUUUCCUUAUAAUCUCUAAGGAUAACUAUAUUUAGGGGUUACACAGCUUCAGUUACAUGCUUACUAGAAAAAUAUACAGAGCCAGAGCAAAGUUGCUGAAUCAGAGGAGGAGGACUGCAAUGGGUUAGAGUUGCCAAAUGAGUCUGACUGACUUGUACUUCUUUCUGAACCUGCACUUGUUUCUGUUCUCUUAGGGUAUAUUAAACAUUGUUAUGCACUGCAGAUUAAAUAUGUUGGUUUUAACUCUGUUAAAUUCUGUUUGAUAUCAUUGUGCCUACUAAAACAUUGCAUUACUGAUGUUGUGAUUUGCAGUAAUAAAGUUACACUCUGGUUAUACAUCUUUUAAACUAUUGCAGCAUAUGCUCCCAGAAGCCAAGGGGAUAUUAAA